AUUGAACGCUGGCGGCAUGCCUUACACAUGCAAGUCGAACGGUAACAGGUCUUCGGAUGCUGACGAGUGGCGAACGGGUGAGUAAUACAUCGGAACGUGCCUAGUAGUGGGGGAUAACUACUCGAAAGAGUGGCUAAUACCGCAUGAGAUCUACGGAUGAAAGCAGGGGAUCGCAAGACCUUGUGCUACUAGAGCGGCCCACGGCAGAUUAGGUAGUUGGUGGGAUAAAAGCUUACCAAGCCGACGAGCUGUAGCUGGUCUGAGAGGACGAUCAGCCACACUGGGACUGAGACACGGCCCAGACUCCUACGGGAGGCAGCAGUGGGGAAUUUUGGACAAUGGGCGCAAGCCUGAUCCAGCAAUGCCGCGUGCAGGAUGAAGGCCUUCGGGUUGUAAACUGCUUUUGUACGGAACGAAAAGCCCCGGGUUAAUACCCUGGGGUCAUGACGGUACCGUAAGAAUAAGCACCGGCUAACUACGUGCCAGCAGCCGCAGUAA
rnacentral:rRNA from 1 species